CAAUGAUCGGGAUAUAAACCCAGGCAUUCAAGCCGGCAAUGGCUACCCUCUUUGGGUCCCCUCCCUUUGUAUGGGAGCUCUGUUUUCACUCUAUUAAAUCUUGCAACUGCACUCUUCUGGUCCGUGUUUGUUAGGGCUCAAGCUGAGCUUCUACUUGCCUUCCACCACUGCUGUUUGCAGUCAUCGCAGACCCGCCGCUGACUUCCAUCCCUCCGGAUAUGGCAGGGUGUCCGCUGUGCUCCUGAUCCAGGGAGGCGCCCAUUGCCGCUCCUGAUCAGGCUAGAGGCUUGCUGUUGUUCCUGCAUGGCUAAGUGCCUGGGUUUGUCCUAAUCAAGCUGAACACCAGUCACUGGGUUCCAUGGUUCUCUUCCAUGACCCACGGCAUCUAAUAGAGCGAUAACACUCAUCGCAUGGCCCAAGAUUCCAUUCCUUGGAAUCCGUGAGGCCAAGAACCCCAGAUCAGAGAACAUGAGGCUUGCCACCAUCUUGGAAGCAGCCCGCCACCUUUUUGGAAGCGGCCCGCCACCAUCUUGGGAGCUCUGGGAGCAAGAACCCCCGGUAACAGAGGGAAUUUUCACUUGCUUCCAUCAAGAAAAGUGAGCCCAUCUGCAUCUGCAAAGGUGGAGAGCCAUCUUAACCUUGAGCCACCAUUACUAGGAUUACACAGACAGAUUACAAAAGGACACCUGCUGGAUAUGCAGACUCAUCCCUCUUUCCAGUGGCUCGGGGCUAUCAUGGAAUGAGCGUUCCUAGCAAUGUGGGACAAGACCUCCUAGGAAUGAGUCUUCUUUGCAACACAGAAACUGAACUUCUAGGAAUGAACUAUCCUAGCAAUGAGAAACCAGCCCAAAUAAGGAGAAGAAAGCAACUUGAGACCAGGAACCCAUAUUCCUUUUAAAAUAUUUUGUCAAAAAUGUUUUCUUCAAAGAGGGUAAUGUGAAAAAAAUUGAAUUUUGGGACUGCAAACUCACUUAGCCAAGGGAAAAAGUCAAGCUGGAAACUGGGUCACACAAACCUGCCUUCCCCUUUUGGUUCCUAAGUAAGAUUGCUACAAGAUGAAAAGCCACAUGCCUCCUCCAUAUUUUGCCCACAUUGAAAUUCCUAGUGAGCUUCAAGAUCUUUUAAGGUGCUUCUGUUAAAAUUUCACUAUGGUAAUAUAAAUUGAUAGCUUAUCUUUACAGGUGCAGUCACCUUUGGCCCACCAGACACAAAUGCAUAUCUGUUUGUUUCCCCUGCCCCAUUUUGUCUAUGUUAUCUUAUGUAAAAUGCAGAUUCCCUGCAUUUUUCCUCUACCCCAUUUGUCUGUCACCUUAUGUAAAAAAAAAUUCAGAUUCACUGAGACAGACAAAGUCAUGAAUAUUUUUCUUUACCCUUCUCUUACAUAAAAAUUGUGUACUUCUCAAUAUCCCACCCUUUCUCCUUUAAGUUUGGAGCCCUCAAAAUCAUCUUUGGAGAAAGGCAUAGACCUGUCUCCUGGGUGCACCUGCUUAACUUUGGCAAAUAAACCUCCUAAAAUGAUU
rnacentral:lncRNA from 10 species